AACGUAGGGCGCAAGCGUUGCGCGGAAUUAUUGGGCGUAAAGGGCGUGUAGGCGGCCUUUUAAGUCCAGCGUGAAAUCCUCCGGCUUAACCGGAGAAUGGCGCUGGAUACUGGAAGGCUGGAGUUCGGGAGAGGGAGGUAGAAUUCCCGGUGUAGCGGUGAAAUGCGUAGAUAUCGGGAGGAAUACCCGUGGCGUAAGCGGCCUCCUGGCCCGACACUGACGCUGAAAAGCAAAAGCGUGGGGAGCAAACAGA
rnacentral:rRNA from 1 species